rnacentral:rRNA from 1 species
CAUGUAGGCGGUUUUUUAAGUCCGGAGUGAAAAUGCGGGGCUCAACCCCGUAUGGCUCUGGAUACUGGAAGACUUGAGUGCAGGAGAGGAAAGGGGAAUUCCCAGUGUAGCGGUGAAAUGCGUAGAUAUUGGGAGGAACACCAGUGGCGAAGGCGCCUUUCUGGACUGUGUUUGACGCUGAGAUGCGAAAGCCAGGGUAGCGAACG